rnacentral:rRNA from 1 species
AACGAACGCUGGCGGCAUGCCUAACACAUGCAAGUCGAACGAGACCUUCGGGUCUAGUGGCGCACGGGUGCGUAACGCGUGGGAACCUGCCCUUAGGUUCGGAAUAACUCCCCGAAAGGGGUGCUAAUACCGGAUAAUGUCUUCGGACCAAAGAUUUAUCGCCUUUGGAUGGGCCCGCGUUGGAUUAGCUAGUUGGUAGGGUAAAAGCCUACCAAGGCGACGAUCCAUAGCUGGUCUGAGAGGAUAAUCAGCCACACUGGGACUGAGACACGGCCCAGACUCCUACGGGAGGCAGCAGUGGGGAAUAUUGGACAAUGGGCGAAAGCCUGAUCCAGCAAUGCCGCGUGAGUGAUGAAGGCCUUAGGGUUGUAAAGCUCUUUUAACCGGGAUGAUAAUGACAGUACCGGGAGAAUAAGCGCCGGCUAACUCCGUG